GACGAACCGUGCAAACGUUGUUCGGAAUCACUGGGCUUAAAGGGCGCGUAGGCGGGCAGGCAAGUCAGGGGUGAAAGCCCACGGCUCAACCGUGGAAGAGCCUUUGAUACUGCCUGUCUUGAGGGAGGUAGGGGCGUGCGGAACUUCCGGUGGAGCGGUGAAAUGCGUAGAUAUCGGAAGGAACACCGGUGGCGAAAGCGGCGCGCUGGACCUCUUCUGACGCUGAGGCGCGAAAGCCAGGGGAGCAAACGGG
rnacentral:rRNA from 1 species